rnacentral:rRNA from 1 species
UUCUUGGAGAGUUUGAUCCUGGCUCAGGACGAACGCUGGCGGCGUGCCUAAUACAUGCAAGUCGAGCGGACAGAUGGGAGCUUGCUCCCUGAAGUCAGCGGCGGACGGGUGAGUAACACGUGGGCAACCUGCCUGUAAGACUGGGAUAACUUCGGGAAACCGGAGCUAAUACCGGAUAAUGCUUUUGGACUC